UACGUAGGCAGCAAGCGUUGUUCGGAGUUACUGGGCGUAAAGGGUGUGUAGGCGGUUGCUUAAGUUUGGUGUGAAAUCUCCCGGCUCAACUGGGAGGGUGCGCCGAAUACUGAGUGACUCGAGUGCGGGAGAGGAAAGUGGAAUUCCUGGUGUAGCGGUGAAAUGCGCAGAUAUCGGGAAGAACACCCGUGGCGAAGGCGGCACUCUGGGACGGUACUGACGCUGAGACGCGAAAGCGUGGGGAGCGAACAGG
rnacentral:rRNA from 1 species